AUGCACAUGAUGGAAAUCAUAUUCUGUCUGACAUCUCUGAUGUUUUCAAAGGAACCACUGAUGCAU